rnacentral:rRNA from 1 species
AGUAGUGGAGUGGCGAACGGGUGAGUAACACGUAGGAAUCUACCCUUAAGACGGGGACAACCCAGGGAAACUUGGGCUAAUACCGGAUGAGAGUGCGAGAGAUUGCAUUUAAAAGGAUGGCGAAAGUUGUCGCUUAGGGAUGAGCCUGCGGUCUAUUAGUUAGUUGGUGAGGUAAGAGCUCACCAAGGCGAUGAUAGAUAGGCGGCCUUAACGGGUGGUCGCCCACACUGGGAUUGAGAUACGGCCCAGACUCCUACGGGAGGCAGCAGUCGAGAAUAGUCUACAAUGGCCGGAAGGCUGAUAGUGCGACGCCGCGUGAACGAGGGAGCCCUUCGGGGUGUAAAGUUCUUUUCUAUACGAGCAGUGCUAUAUAUAUGGAUAGUAUAUAUAGAGGGAUAGUAGUAUAGGAAUAAGCAACGGCUAACUCCGUG